AAGUCGUAACAAGGUUUCCGUAGGUGAACCUGCGGAAGGAUCAUUAAAGAGAUAGGGUCCUAACCGGCCCGACCUCCAACCCUUUGUCGUUUAACAAAAACCUUUGUUGCUUUGGCGGGGCCGUCCGUCGAAACCCCGAGCCCCAACCGGGUCAGGGGGGCCAGCCGGGCGCCCGCCGGAGUGAAACCAAACUCUUGCAUUCAACGAGUCGUCUGAGUCAAUUGAUAAAUCAAUCAAAA
rnacentral:misc_RNA from 1 species